CCUUAAAUUUUCCUCUUUGCAGGUCUAUUCUUCGGACGUAUGCUCAUGAUGAUGUAAGUGCAGGGUCAUGGUUUAUUGGGCUUGAUGUGAAGCAUGUUGAUGAGGGGAAGCUUUGCUGCUCGUCCUGGUCAACAGGUUCGAUAUGUGCAGCUGUCUGAUGUGACUAACGUGAUUUAUUUCAUCACCAUUGAUAUACAUAUAUAGUGAGGCCAUUGUUUUCCUGCAUCAUCCGGGAUGCUGUUUUGGUAUGAACUCAGAGCUUAAGCAUUAUUUCCUGGACAAUGAUCUGGAGUGUGGAAUCGCCAAAUUGUUGACAUCAGAGUUUUCAGUCAGAAUUGAUUCCUUAAUUCAAUCCUCGUUCUUCCAAGUUCCAACAGCUGUAGAUGCAAGCAACAUACUCAUCAUUUUUAAAAAUUCAGGCACAAAAGUUUUUCCUGCCAGUGAUGUACAUAGCUUCAUUCUUAAAUUUGAUUGACAAAUUUUCAAUUUUUCAGACAAAAAAUGAAGAGUUUUCUCAGCAGUUUUUGUUUGCAGAGUCAAGAAUUUCAGAUUAUUGAUAAGAAAUUGGCUCUCAUACUCUCAUCAUGUGAAAGACAUUAACAAGAAGGUAGUAGUUGUUUUGCAAUAGAAAAAGCAUUUACCCAA